UUGUAUUUUGCGGAGCUCUUUCUUACCGAGCCUUUCUCUAUUUUAGUGUUUUGCUGGGACCAAAGGAUUUGGGCACAGACUGACCUCUACCCUUCUCUGGAAAGCUUCCUGGUCUCCAGCCCUUUCCCGUCAUCACGGAUGAGUCAAGAGGAAGAUGCUCAGGUUUUACAAAAAUGCAGCAAGGUGACUCAGCUGAGGUCGGCAUUCACCAUGUGGAGAACUGGGGACAUUGAUCUACCUGAAAUCUACCUAAAUCCUCCUGAAAAUGGAUAUCUUCCCAUUGUGAUUGGGACCUCAGCCAUCAGUGUUCUCCCUCUCUUCCUCCUCUUCCUCCUCCUCUGCCAUUGCUGGUGUCGAGCCAAACACAGGGCCACGGAUGAUGAGACCAAGAGCCAAGUGCAGUAUGACAGCUCCGGCCCAGGCUUGAACUUUGCAGAAGACAAUCAAUCUAAGAGGAGUGAGAAGGAGGGGCAACCGGGGUAGGGAAAGAUGUGUUCAGGAGAAGAUAGACGGCCUCCCGGAAGGAGCAGAGACGUGGCACACACCUCACUGGGUGUGAUAUCCCUGCUCUUCCCUGACAUUGGCACCCCCCAAGUCCAGACGGCAGGGUGGGAUGACCGGAGGCUCCCCCUGGAAGCCCUUCCUCUCCUCUUUUUUCCAGGUGGUGUCUCAGUGGAUAUCGCCUCUGAGGGGGACAGACAGAUGGACAUGGAGGUGAGGCUUUCCUCCUUCCCCCGAGGCCUCCCCCCCCCCGCCCCGUGUUCUCCCCUCACCUUGUAUCUUCUUGCUGACAGGCCCUCCCAGAGGAAGACCCACAGGACGUGAUCUCUGUUCAGCAACACUGAGAUUCCCUGAUGGGGAGUGUGGAUUCAGAGUUCUCCUGCACCCUUGAGGAAUCCUUGUGAUAGCCCUGUGUGUAUAUCACCCUCCCCUGGUCUUGAGUGCAGAGCCAGAACUGGCCAUGUGGACUCCAGCGCUUAAGGGCCCCUUAAGGAAGAUGCGGCGUCCCACUCGUGUCCCCCACAGCAGCAGCAUCUUGGAGCUCCCCAAAGACUCAAGAAUAGAGAAGCCUUGUCACCUGUCAAGAAAUUCUGGGAUGCAUCGCAUCCCUCAACCGAUUCCUGGUUCCUUCUGUUUUUAUCCCCUCAUUUGCUUAUUUAACAGAUAUUCGCAGAAGUUGACUCUUCCUUUGCACCUGUGCUGAGGAGGGACAGAUCAGUAGGACACAGCUCCUGGUCUUAAGGAGUGCCUGGCCUCCUGAGAGAGGCAAACCUUAUGAUCGCUUGGGCCCUUAGAAAGCAAAGAGGGGGUGAGCUACUGGAGCAGGGGAAGGAUGAUGUGGGCGACACAGGAAUACUCAUCCGGGUGCAUUUAAGGAGGACCCACAGGUACCCAACGCAAGGAGAAGUCAAGAAGACAUAGGAGUCAAACUGGGCGGGAGGGAGUUCCUGGUGGCAUUUUGCUCCAAUGCUCUAGGUUUUGUGUGAGCUGAAGCCUUCAGAGCAGCAAAAGGCGAACAAGAAAGAUUCUUUGUAAAGGAACCAAAUUGCAACUAUUUGACCGGAAGAAGGAUUUCUCUUGGGGAGGGGAAUGGUGCAGAGGGUGUUUGGGGGGGGGUAUGGUUUCCCUCUAGUUUUGGUGAAUUUCACUUUUUAGUUAUGCAAUGAAAAGAAAUAGAAUACAAUAUAACGAGAUGGGAGUGGCAGGAGAGGAAUUGGAGUUGGUAUUAAAGUAGAUGCGAAUGAUUACAUUUGAGAUGGAUGAGCAGUGAGGUCCUACAGUACAGCACAGGGGACUCUGUCCAGUCUCUUGGGAGAGACUAUGAUGGAAGAUAAUAGGAGAAAAAGAAUUUAUGUGACUGGGGCACUCUGCUGCACAGCAGAAAUUGGCACAACACUGUAAUAAAAAACCAAAAAAAAUACA
rnacentral:lncRNA from 1 species